rnacentral:sRNA from 1 species
UGCGGCUGGAUCACCUCCUUUCUAAGGAAGCUGUGGAAUUGGAAGACGAUCGGUUCGCCGAUAUGACCUUUCCCGUGCUUUUUAGAACAAGAUCGGAUCAGUCAGAUCACGAUCGAAACGUAAUACGCCGCAGAGGUGCUUGCACCCUGACGGUAUGGCGAGACCCGCCGUCCACGUUUCUCUUUCUCACAAAGACAAGGACCACGCUGUUUUGGCUGUAGUUCACCCCGGAUGGGCCCGUAGCUCAGGUGGUUAGAGCGCACGCCUGAUAAGCGUGAGGUCGGCAGUUCGAGUCUGCCCGGGCCCACCAUUCGCCUACGGCUCAUGGUGAGCCCAGGCAGUCUCUUUAAGUUUGUUCUUCCUCGUGAUCUCUGAUCACUGCGGGGAGAACGGGCCGGGCCCGGCGGAGCUUUCCGUUUGGGUAUCGAAACCUGAUGGGGCUGUAGCUCAGCUGGGAGAGCACCUGCUUUGCAAGCAGGGGGUCAGCGGUUCGAUCCCGCUCAGCUCCACCAAGGUUUUGGUGUUGAUGGCUGGGGGAUCUGUUCCUUGUCUUUGGGGAAAAUAAAGUUUGCAUCGUCUCUGCUGAGACUGAUGCCUGUUCUGCUAAAAUUGUGAAGAGAAGAUAUGUCUGGAAGCUUCCAGGUGUUGACGGCGAUUGUCGAAAGACGGUCGGUGUCGGCGUCCGAGCCCGGUCCUUUUGAAGCCAUCGAUGGUCUAGCCGACCGGAGAUGGAAGAGGGGCUGGAGGUAGGAGGGAAGUCUUGUCGUUCAAGGCAUGGAUGUUGUUGGGGUGUCCUUCGGGAUGCCCUUCUGGUGUUCAUGGCCGAUUGGUGUUGCCUGACCGCGCAUCACCGGACAGAUCUCGAGAAGCUGGUCUUAAGAUUUGGCGCAAGCGAACCGCUCGGCGUGGUUCCAAUAAAGCGACCAAAUCGAACACGUCGAUGGCAUCUGAUUGGCUCGGUUGUAAAAGGUAACCGGGUUUUUGGACUGGCGGUGCGGCAAACGAAAGUUACCCGCAUGGCCAGAUUUGGCACCCCUUCGAGCGAGAGCGAGAAGGAAAGGUUUGCCAAAUCCCAAUAAGGAUGAGCAUUGGCAAUGAGAACGAUCAAGUGUCAAAAGGGCAUUUGGUGGAUGCCUUGGCAUGCACAGGCGAUGAAGGACGUGAUACGCUGCGAUAAGCCGUGGGGAGCUGCGAAUGAGCUUUGAUCCAUGGAUCUCCGAAUGGGGCAACCCACCUUAGAUGCUUGGAAAAUUUAAGCCGUGCGAAAGCACGGCUUAAGUUUCCAAGCAUUGUUGAAAGGUAUCUUAUCCUGAAUUCAAUAGGGAUAAGAAGCGAACGCAGGGAACUGAAACAUCUAAGUACCUGCAGGAAAGGACAUCAACCGAGACUCCGCAAGUAGUGGCGAGCGAACGCGGACCAGGCCAGUGGCAAUGAGGAAUAAAGUGGAACGACUUGGAAAGGUCGGCCGUAGCGGGUGAUAGCCCCGUACACGUAGAACACUCAUUGUCCUUGAGUAAGGCGGGACACGUGAAAUCCUGUCUGAACAUGGGGAGACCACUCUCCAAGCCUAAGUACUCGUGCAUGACCGAUAGCGAACAAGUACCGUGAGGGAAAGGUGAAAAGCACCCCGACAAGGGGAGUGAAAUAGAACCUGAAACCGGAUGCCUACAAACAGUCGGAGCCCGCAAGGGUGACGGCGUACCUUUUGUAUAAUGGGUCAACGACUUAGUGUGACAUGCGAGCUUAAGCCGGUAGGUGGAGGCGUAGCGAAAGCGAGUCUGAACAGGGCGCCUGAGUAUGUCGCAUUAGACCCGAAACCGAGUGAUCUAGCCAUGAGCAGGUUGAAGGUUGGGUAACACCAACUGGAGGACCGAACCCGCAUCUGUUGCAAUAGAUUGGGAUGACUUGUGGCUAGGGGUGAAAGGCCAAUCAAACUCGGAAAUAGCUGGUUCUCCGCGAAAUCUAUUUAGGUAGAGCGUCGACCGAAUACCCCCGGGGGUAGAGCACUGGAUGGGCUAUGGGGACUCACCGUCUUACUGAUCCUAACCAAACUCCGAAUACCGGGGAGUACUAGUCGGCAGACACACGGCGGGUGCUAACGUCCGUCGUGAAAAGGGCAACAACCCUGACCUCCAGCUAAGGUCCCCAAGUCAUGGCUAAGUGGGAAAGGAUGUGAGGAUCCCAAAACAACCAGGAUGUUGGCUUAGAAGCAGCC